rnacentral:rRNA from 1 species
CAGUCGCCACGGGAAUACGAAGGGUGCAAGCGUUAAUCGGAAUUACUGGGCGUAAAGCGUGCGUAGGCGGUUUGUUAAGUCUGCUGUGAAAUCCCCGGGCUCAACUCGAAGUCUGCAUCGAAAACUGCCGGGCUUGAGUAUGGGAGAGGUGAGUGGAAUUUCCGGUGUAGCGGUGAAAUGCGUAGAUAUCGGAAGGAACACCUGUGGCGAAAGCGGCUCACUGGACCAUUACUGACGCUGAGGCGCGAAAGCUAGGGGAGCAAACAGGAUUAGAUACCCCGGUAGUCCCUGUCUCUUAUAC